GUUUUUGCGCAUGUGCAGAAGGUUUUGUGCAUGCGCAGAAGGUCUGCCGCACAUGUGACACGUACGUGAGCGAAGCGAGCACACACGGGUGGUGUGUGCACUUCCAAACUGGUAAGGAAGAUCUGGGCUGCAGACAUUUGGAUGACCACUUGAUGGCAGCAAAAAAACAGAGAAGGGCUUCAACUUUUCAGACAUAUUUCUGCUUCUCCCUGUUUCUUCUGCAGACACUCAUUUAAAGUUUUUUCCAUAGCCAAUGGAUGUACUCUCUCACUCUCUGUCAGCUGUUCCUCUUCCCCUUAAGAUUCAGAUUCUGACAGGGGCAUGACAACUAAAUGCUGAAAUACUGCCAAAUAAAUGUGGCAAUUAGGAGGGAGAGGAGCGAUGGAAAUAAACUGACAAGCAGUGACAACGCAAAAAGGCAAAGUAGCAGAUGAAAGAAGGAAAGAAACUCUGGCUCGAUAAAUCUUUGUGACUGAGUGAAUUGAUAACAACCCAAAGCAUGGUUGGCAGGGACUGCAGUAUCUAACUAACUAUAAGGGCAACAUGAGGAACACGGUCAACGCUGAUGCCUCAUUGGUGGAGGAGUUGAACACCUUCUUCGACCGCUACGAGAUGAAAAGACCAGAUCCCGUAGCCGCUGCCAGCCGGCCUUCUGAUUCCCAGCCACUCACCUUCUACAAACACCAAGAUUCUCUUCUUCAAAGACCUUUUCACCUGAUCACAUCCCAUCCUUUGUAUGACCUCAGUAGAGGGAAACAAACCUGAGAACCAUAUUGGUCUUGUGCCAGACAAAUGAGAUCCAAAUUCUUGCAACUCAACAUGUAUAGAAAGGUCCAUCAAGGUCAUACUCAACCUAAGGUUUUGCAAGGUCCAGUAUUCGUAGUUUUUUGUCUUUCUUAUCAACGGUGCUAACUCUGGGAUGGAAGACCACAACUGAGCUAAAAAUUUCCAUUGCUAAGCAAGACAGUUGUUAAAUGGAUUUUGUCCUUUUUAUUUCCAAAGUUGUUAAGCGUAUCACUGCUGUUGUUAAGUGAAUCAUGCUGUCAUUAAAAAAAUCUGAC